GACGAACGCUGGCGGCGUGCUUAACACAUGCAAGUCGAACGGAAAGGCCCUGCUCUUGUGGGGUGCUCGAGUGGCGAACGGGUGAGUAACACGUGUGUAUCCCGCCCUUGACUUUGGGAUAACUUCAGGAAACUGGGGCUAAUACCGGAUAGGAGCUCCUGCUGCAUGGUGGGGGUUGGAAAGUUUCGGCGGUUGGGGAUGGACUCGCGGCUUACCAGCUUGUUGGUGGGGUAGUGGCUUACCAAGGCUUCGACGGGUAGCCGGCCUGAGAGGGUGACCGGCCACAUUGGGACUGAGAUACGGCCCAGACUCCUACGGGAGGCAGCAGUGGGGAAUAUUGCACAGUGGGCGGAAGCCUGAGGCAGCGACGCCGCGUGCGGGAUGACGGCCUUCGGGUUGUAAACCGCUGUCGCCUGUGACGAGGCGUGAGUGACGGUAAUGGGUAAAGAAGCACCGGCUAACUACGUG
rnacentral:rRNA from 1 species